AUGUCAAGGUUGCGCAAUAUAAUAGCUAAAGUCACCAAAAUCAACCACAUGAGACAACUCCAUGCACACCUCAUUCAUUACUCUCUUCACGGCCAAAGCUACUGGGUGGCCCUGCUAAUUAAUCUAUGCACGCGCCUCCAUGCUCCGCCGCCCUACACCCGUUCCAUUUUCGAAUCAGCACAGGAACCGAACAUCUUUGUUUUCACCAGCAUGCUCAAGUACCAUUCCCAUUUGGGCGCCCAGAGUGAUGUUCUCCAAGUGUUUGUUGAAAUGCAGAAGUUUGGAGUGAGCCCCGAUGCGUUUGUGUACCCGAUACUGAUCAAAGCGACAGGGGAGGGUGGUGUUGCGUUCCACGCAAAGGUUAUUAAAAUGGGUAUUGAUUCCGAUAGGUUUAUACGCAAUGCCGUGAUGGAUAUGUAUGGAAAAUACGGGCCUAUUCAGAUUGCCAGGGAACUGUUUGAUGAAAUGCCUGAGAGGGCUGUUGCAGAUUGGAAUUCGAUUAUUUCUGGAUACUGGAAUUGGAAGAAUGAGGUUGAAGCGCGGAGGAUGUUUGAUUUGAUGCCAGAGAAGAAUGUGAUUACUUGGACAACGAUGGUGAGUGGGUACUCGAGAAUGAAGGAUUUGGUGAAUGCUAGGAGGUAUUUUAAUAAAAUGCCCGAGAAAAGCAUCGUUUCAUGGAAUGCAAUGCUUUCUGGCUAUGCUCAGAAUGGGUAUAAUGAGGAGGCAAUAAGGUUGUUCACUGAAAUGGUGAGUGUUGGAGUUAUUCCUGAUGAAACAACAUUGGUUACUGUUAUUUCUUCUUGUUCUUCAGAAGGUAUUCCUGCCCUUGCUGAGUGGCUUGUCAGUAUGAUCAACAAAAAGAGCAUUCAUUUGAAUUGUUUUGUCAAAACUGCACUUCUUGACAUGUAUGCUAAGUGUGGAAAUCUAGAGAUGGCUAGAAAGAUUUUUGAUGAGUUGGGUUCAUAUAGGAACUCUGUUACUUGGAAUGCAAUGAUUUCUGCAUAUGCAAGACACGGUAAUUUGGCUUUAGCUAAAGAACUCUUUGAUAGAAUGCCAGGGAGGAAUGUGGUGUCCUGGAAUUCUAUAAUAGCUGCUUAUGCACAGAAUGGACAAUCAAAAAUAGCAAUUGAUCUCUUCAAAGAGAUGAUUGAACAGGGAAUGAUUCCUGAUGAAGUAACUAUGCUUAGUGUAAUCUCAGCUUGCGGCCAUCUUGGGGCUUUGGAAUUUGGCAAAGAGAUGGUCAAUUUCCUGAUGAAGAACAAAAUUAAAUUGAACAUUUCAGGUUACAAUUCCUUGAUUUUCAUGUAUUCUAAGUGCGGAAGCAUGGAAGAUGCAAAAUCGGUGUUUCAAUCUUUGGAAACCAGAGAUGUGGUGUCCUAUAAUGCACUCAUUACAGGUUUGGCAGCUUAUGGUAAUGGCAAUGAAGCCCUUGAUUUACUCUGGAAGAUGAAGGAAGAAAACCUUAAACCAGAUCGGAUAACGUAUACAGGAGUUUUAACAGCUUGCAGUCAUGCAGGAUUGGUGGAUGAAGGCCAAAGAAUUUUCGAAUCAAUCAAAUCUCCUGAUGUUGAUCAUUAUGCAUGCCUAGUGGACUUGUUAGGUAGAAAUGGCAAACUUGAUGAAGCAAAGGGGUGGAUUGAUAGAAUGCCACUGCAUCCUCAUGCUGGUGUAUAUGGUGCACUUUUAAAUGCUAGCUGUAUUCACAAACGAAUUGAUCUUGGAGAGUUUGCAGCAACUAAACUCUUUGAGAUAGAACCAGAAAACUCAGGCAACUAUAUCUUGCUUUCUAAUAUAUAUGCUUCAGUAAGGAGGUGGGAAGAUGUAGAAAGAAUCAGAGGAUUGAUGAGUAAAGUGGGAAUUUUGAAGACAACUGGGUGGAGUUGGGUGGAACAUGAUGGAAAGAUGCACAAGUUCAUAGUCGGCGAUCAGUUGCAUGAGAAAUCAGAUGAUAUUUAUCGAGUACUUGGUGAGAUGGAGAACAAGAUGAGGCUUGCUGGAUACAUGGCUGACAAGAGCUGUGUUUUGAGAGACAUUGAGGAAGAAGAAAAGGAAGAAAUGAUAGGAAGCCAUAGCGAGAAAUUGGCUGUUGCUUUUGCACUUCUAGUGAGUGAACCGGGAUCAGUGAUACGAGUGGUAAAGAACCUCAGGAUCUGUAGGGAUUGUCACACUGCUAUAAAGAUCAUAUCAAAGUUAGAGAAAAGGGAGAUUAUUGUUAGAGACAACAAUAGGUUUCACUGCUUCAAAGAUGGGUUAUGUUCCUGCAAGGACUACUGGUAAUAUUUGUGUUGCAUUGAUUAUUUGGUAGCUGCACAUUGGAACAUGAGGUUAGAGCACAAAAGGCAUCGGUCUCCGUCUAGUGCCCCCACACCGUCUAGUUUUUCUGAUUAGAGCACAUAACAUUUUUCAAGCCUAUAAACUCCUAUUUGUUUACAAUGAAAGCCAUCAACUCAUGCCUCUCAGAGCAUUCUGAGAUUGACAGUAUGGUCUACAAUACUGGGAUCUCUGCCACAAUAGAUACUCAGGUAAGGUAGAUUGGGCAAAGGCAUGAAUGGGCGAGGAAGGAGGCAAUUUGCAAAUGAAAAUGAGUCAAGGAAGCACAAAACGAAGGCAUAAGGGCACGAAGCAAGCCAAGGAGCAGAAUGGGAGCUUAGGAGAAAACCAGGAGACACCCAAGGUCACAAUCAUGGCCGUGACUGUGACCGUGACCUUCCCAUAGCAUUUUCUAAUCCCUGGGCUCUCACUAAUACUCAUGGCCAUGAGCGUCAACAUGAGGCCACAGAAAGUUCCCUGGGAUGGUCACGGUCACCCACCUGGUCGUAACCUCGAUCGGGAGGUCUGGAAUCUGCACCGUGCUCCUAGUGGUCACGAUCGACCUCUCGGCUGGGGGAGAUAGGUCAUGACUACGCGUCCAGAAUUUGCUAAGUUGGCUUCUUUGGUGCGAAUUGGAGGGUAUAAAUAAGCUUAGGCGGUUAAUUUUUAGAUUAUUUUACAUUUUUAUAUUCUCUCUAAGUUUUCCUAAUGAGAAAAUCUCUCCACGACCUCUCUUCUUGUAAUCAUUCCAAAUUUGAUGAAGAAUUAAAGUUGAUUUAAGCUUGUAAUUCAUUUUGGUUUCAAUUUGAA